GCAGUUAUAAGCAAUGGUGUAACAGGGACAAGGGGCAUCCUUUAACCUAACAUAUACAGUGCGCAUAUGUCAUGUCAUGUUGUCACAUUUAGUCAAUAAGGCAAACAGAAAAAGGAACCUUAUGCCCAAUUAGUUAGUCCUGUCUAUUCUAGGCACCUAGAUAAAAGAACUGAAGUCCGUACUACAAGGUAUAUCCUGCUGUAUGAAUUCUGGCCCAGCGUAAGAACACUGGCCAAAUGGAACAGGAAGAAUGUCCUGGUUGACAAUAAAGUACUCUAUACCUAAAGGUUAGGAAGAGCCCAAACCUGACUCCUUGAAGGGCUGUUGUACAAGAAUGCAUUAAAUACUGCAAAAUAGAACAGAGGAGAGGCUAUCAAAAGGAACACAAGGUCACUGCGGUCACACACAGGAAAACGUGACUUAUUAGUAUUAUGUAUGCGCUGUGUGAUUCAUUUGCAUACAAUGGUGUGCACAAUUACAUACCAUAAGCAUGUGAGCAACAAGAUGCAUGUCACACACGGGUGGCAAAAGAAUAUAAAAAUCAUUUAUACUAGAGUAUAAGCCAACCCGAAUAUAAGCCGAGGCCUCUAAUUUAACCACAAAAAACUGGGAAAACUUAUUGACUCAAGUAUAAGCCUAGGGUGGGAAAUGCAGCCACUACUGGUAAAUCUCUAAAUAAAAUUAGAUCCCCAAAAUUACAUUAAUU